GCAACCAUUGAGCUUCAGAGCCAGCCGUGGAAGCGUCAGCCUAGAGCGACCGUAGAGAACGAAGAGAGGCCCUUUCAGAAACGGAAGUGGAUAUGAUAUCAUCGGCGAGCCGCCUAUAAAGAGAGGGCGGGAUGUGCUCUUCAAAAGUUACGUAAUGGAUGAUACUCUCUUGUUUUUGGGCCACACCAAGUGGCUUUUGGGACCUUACCCAACCAGGGAUUGAACCUAAGGCCCUCAGCACUGAAAGCAUGGAGUCCUAACCACUGGAUGGCCAAGGAAUUUCUGAGAGAUUCACUUUAAUCAUUUUUUUAAUGGAGACAUAAACAUGAGAUAUUCAUUUAUAGUUACAAAUGUAUUUACUCAUAGAUGCUUCUGUCUUUAAAUGACAAAAAUGAAUUUUAGAGAGGUCACAUAAAGCUAUCCAGUUCCAUGUACCACAUUGUAGAAGUUAAAGAUGGAAGCUACUAACCCAUUCGCCUGUCAAUUCCUCGAGGUCAUAUUGUACCUAUCUUGCUCACCAUUGUUUCCCUCGGACCUAGAUUACACCAGUAUUCAAUAAAUACCCACUGAAGAAGUGAAUACCAACUUGCAGGAAUCACCCCAAUAAAUGGAUUAAGGGUUGAAAAGGCAGUUGAGCGCAGGGCAAAGAGCAGCAUUGUUAGCAUCACACAAAACUUAAUUUAGAUGAUAACCCUGCUAUUUGCUACUUCUGUGAGUUUGAACUGAUAAGGUAAUCUUAAUACGUUUUAACUAUAAAAAUGUACCAAUAUUUAUGGGGUUACUGAGAGGAGUAAGUGUGAUAAUACAGGUAAAGUUUGUAACACAUUGCCUGGUUCAUGGUGGGUACUUGCUUAAUAGUAGAUAUUUUUUUGCAGUCUCUAAAAGCUAUUCAAAUAAUGAUUUAAUAAGCUGAAAAUGAAGAUUAAUAUAGACAAUUACUAUAAUUUAAAUGUGUAAUAUGUGUGGUGAUAGCUAUACUAUGCAGUAUACAUUCAUGCUUACUCUAUGCCAAGCACAAUCUGCAAUUUUUUAACAUGAAAUCAAGUGCAUUAUAUCAUCACCAUAUGAAUUGUUAAAGUUACUCUUGCUUUUAUGGAAGAGGAAACGGGGACACUGAAAAGUAAGAGGUGGAGGUGAACCUGGAAUUCAGGCAGAGAAAUACAAAAUAUCAGAGAGGAAACAUGGCUAAUCUUGGUUUCACUAA